AUGAAUGAUGCGGUAGACAAAU
rnacentral:siRNA from 1 species